rnacentral:tRNA from 1 species
UCCCUUGUAACUCAGUUGGUAAAUAAUCUGCCUGCAAUGCAGAAGACCCAGGUUCGAUUCCUGAGUGGGGAA